ensembl:piRNA 21ur-5037 ncRNA
UUAAUGGAAAGUUUUAAUUAA